rnacentral:rRNA from 1 species
AUUGAACGCUGGCGGCAGGCCUACCACAUGCAAGUCGAACGAGUGGCGGACGGGUGGGAAAUGUCUGGGAACAUUCCGGAUGGAGGGGGAUACCUACUGGAAACGGAAACUACAACCGCAUACAACCGGAUGUGCCCAGAUGGGAUUAGCUAGUAGGUGGGGUAAAGGCUCACCAGGGCGACGAUCCCUAGCUGGUCUGAGAGGAUGACCAGCCACACUGGGACGGUGACACGGUACAGACUCCUAAGGGAGGCAGCAGUGGGGAAUAUUGCACAAUGGGCGCAAGCCUGAUGCAGCAAUGCCGCGUGUAUGAAGAAGGCCGUCGGGUUGUAAAGUACGUUCAGCGGGGAGGCGUUACCCGCAGAAGAAGCACCGGCUAACUCCGUGCCAGCCGCCGCGGUAAUAC